rnacentral:rRNA from 1 species
AUGAAGUUGGAAUCGCUAGUAAUCGCGGAUCAGCAUGCCGCGGUGAAUACGUUCCCGGGCCUUGUACACACCGCCCGUCACACCAUGAGAGUCGGGAACACCCGAAGUCCGUAGCCUAACCGCAAGGGGGCGCGGCCGAAGGUGGGUUCGAUAAUUGGGGUGAAGUCGUAACAAGGUAUC